AUACUGAGGGUGCAAGCGUUAAUCGGAAUUACUGGGCGUAAAGGACGCGUAGGCGGUUUAGAAAGUCAGAUGUGAAAGCCUAUGGCUUAACCAUAGAACUGCAUCUGAAACUCCUAGACUAGAGUGAGGGAGAGGUCAGUGGAAUUAGUGGUGUAGGGGUAAAAUCCGUAGAGAUCACUAGGAAUACUCAUAGCGAAGGCGACUGACUGGAACUUUACUGACGCUGAGGCGUGAAAGCGUGGGGAGCAAACAGGAUUAGAAACCCCAGUAGUCC
rnacentral:rRNA from 1 species